rnacentral:rRNA from 1 species
CGCAACCCCUAUUGUCAGUAGCCAGCAGGUAGAGCUGGGCACUCUGAUGAGACUGCCAGGGAUAACCUGGAGGAAGGUGGGGAUGACGUCAAAUCAUCAUGCCCCUUAUGAUUUGGGCUACACACGUGCUACAAUGGCGUAAACAAAGAGAAGCGAAGCUGUGAGGCAGAGCAAAUCUCAAAAAUAACGUCUCAGUUCGGAUUGUAGUCUGCAACUCGACUACAUGAAGCUGGAAUCGCUAGUAAUCGCGGAUCAGAAUGCCGCGGUGAAUACGUUCCCGGGUCUUGUACACACCGCCCGUCACACCAUGGGAGUCGGAAAUGCCCGAAGCCAGUGACCCAAGCGAAAGCAGGGANCUGUCGAAGGCAGGUCUGAUAACUGGGGUGAANUCGUAACAAGUNGCCCNAAAAA